CUGCCACAUCAUUAUUGAAACACCAGUUCCCAUACGAUCACCAAAGUUAAGCAAUGUCGAACAUGGUCAGUACUGAGAUGUGUGACUGCUUGGGAAUACCAGGUGCUGUAAG